UUCUAUAACUGUUAAUGCUCAUUUAAGGAGAUCAAAACAUGAAAACAUGAGCCAAGGACAGCCUCUGGGAGACUUCUGAAACUGAUAUGAAGAAGACCAGACAAAAUCUGAAUCUAAACAAGGAGUGAUUCAUAUACUACUUGAUUUCAGCAAGUAUUUCAAUGAAAAUUGUCACUUGCAAAGUAUGAUGCUGGGAUGCUGAGAAAGAUCAGUGACAAAAUCCUUUUGCAGGGCUAUGCAACCCGUCAUGGAACAUAAAGUUUUUCCUCCUGUCAGCCAGGAAGAGUAAGAAGUAAUUUGCAGUGGAUGUGAUGGAAGAUAACUGCUCUGAAACCUGAAAAUCCAGGUUUCUGUUCAAAACAUAGCUAGAAAGGGUCGUUUUGUUCUUGUCCAUGGCCUUGUUGGAGCUUUAGAAACAUUAAACGUGGUUUGGAAGCCUGAGAACCAUGCAGACAUAGGAAGGGUAGUUUAGAGAAAUGCAAUGCUGGCCAGAAAAGGUCACAAGAAAAGAUGAACAAACUUGAGAAGACAGAACAAAGCACUCUAAACCAGGAACAGCAAACCAAAUCAUCAAAGUUUGAGAGUAAAACAGUUGACCCUCUUUAUUCGCCUUAGGGUUUAUUAGUUAAACAUAUGCCAGUUACUGAAAGAGUAGUUAGAUUUGUAAAUUUCACAAGAAUUUGUAAAAUUCACAAGACUAUCAGGUACACAGAAUUAGGUCAGAUAUGCCAAAAUGGUUUGGAAAAGAUUUGAAAUGGUUUCAGAAUCAGGUUUUUGUAACUGACCUCCCAAUAACUCUUAUGCAGACAUUCCCCAUGAGUGGGCAUUUGUGUCUGUUCAUUAUGGGAGAGUUGUGUGCAAAACUUGGCGCUCUAGAAUUUGGACAAAAUGUCAGAGCUUAUGCUACUUGAGCUAAUAACUGUCUGGACUUAAAUACAUUUAAUAGAUAAUGUAUUAAAUAUCAGGAAAGGUGUUUUAUAAAUGAAGUCUAUAGCUAAUUUUCUCCACAACCAUAAGUGAAUGAAAUAGUUUAGAAGCAGCUGAUUGACACUGGGAAAAUUGCUCUAACACUGAAGACAAAGUAUGACAUCAUCAGCACUCAGCAAGGGAGAGGGGUGAAGUAUUUAAAACCCAUUUUACAACUUCUGUUCUAGGGAGCUUUAGCUAUCAAUAUUCUUGUGUGCCUGAACCAGACUGUCAUUAAUUUCUUGAGUGUUUCUGACAAUUGGAAAAUAUUGAGAAAAAAAGAUCAUAAAAUAUUCUAUAAGGGAGGAUUAUAAGGGAGAGAAGGACUAAAGAGAUUUCAAAGUCUACAGGAUUGGUUCCAAAAUAAAAUCUGCUGUGCAAAUACUGAGGAGAGAAUGUAUGUCUAUUAAUAAAAAGAAGGUUGAAGCUGUGCAUGACUUGCCAGCUUUCCAGGCACUCCUGAAAUAGGGUUUUUAUAGGCGCCCAUUCAUAAUGCCUGCUCCUGCAGCAAAACCUUUGCACAGGGUCUCAAUAGCUGCUUUAAUGGCUCAAACUAUUAUUGAUUUUACUAUUUCAAAACCUGAAAAUAGUGUUGGCAAUUACUCUUAGCUUAACACUUGCAUUUCUAAAGGAAAUUGAGCAGGAUGAGAUGAUUUUCAGUUUCAAGUUGGUAGAAAUAGCCUACCAGGACAUGAAAUCUAAAUCUGCAUAUAGUUAUGUUUCAAAAAAAAUUCACAUCUGCAAACCACUAGGAAUGUCAACUUUACAGUUUAACAGAAAAAGAUGGAUAGAGUUGGGAUAAGGUAUGAUACUACAGUGACCAUAUAGUCAUUUUUGCCAAAGAGCUGCUUCUUAGUGCAAAACCAGAGGGCGACCUGCUUCAGCAUCUUUUUCUGAGGUUCAAGAAAAAAAAAGGAAGUUCUGAGACAGCUGGAAAACUAACGGGUUCAGGCUCCUGCUCUGAUCCUCAUCAUGAGAUAAGAGCAGAGGCACAGGCAUGUCUGUCUGUCUGUCUUUCCACACCUUCUUUCCACAGCCUCCAGGAAAAUGAGGUUGCGCAUACAUUCCUUGGAACUAAAUAAAACUGCACAAAAGGAGUAAUUCAUUCAUGCCAUCUAUGUUUCUUCUCCUAAGAGAAAAAAAUCUUACUAUUCAGGCAGUGGUUAUUAUAUAAAUGAGAAAUACUGCAUUUCAAUAGGCAAAAUAUAUGUUUUAAACAUUUCUUGGCAAUUAACAUCUAAAUGUUUUCCUCUAAAUAGGACUUAUAUACUGCUCAGCUCCAGCACAAUGAUAGUAACUUGAAAACUGAGAAACUAGAAAAUGCUUAGAGGUAAUGAUGGCUCAUCCUUCAGAAAACAUAACUUUUUAAAAAAUGUGUUUAUCUGAAAAGGUUACCACACCUAAAUUCCCUAAUGCCUCCUAGAUUUUUAUUCAUGAAAUUAUAUAUAUCACCGUAUUUUACUGGAAACAAUGUACUUAAAUUUAUACUCUGCAGUCUGUUUUUCCCAGUAAAAUACGUUACACUCUGGACAUUUGUUAACAUUUCUAGUAUCUCUUGCUUUGAUGUUACGUUAUUAAACCUAUAUGCUGUACUUCUAUUUAUUAAUGUUUCUUUUGCACUAUUUCACCCUGUACAACAUGUUAAACUUUGCAUUAAUCUUUCUAAAGACUAUUGUUAUGAGUAUUUCUGCCUGUUUUUCAGUAGCCCUCUAUUUUAAGACCAUGUAUACAUAGAGAAUAUAACAGGAUCAGGAUGAAUUUCAGUUUCUAUUA